rnacentral:misc_RNA from 1 species
CAAACAACCAAAACCCACUUCCUUUCUCUUUUUCCAGACCUGGGUUUUAUUCAAUUUCGUCUCUUUUUUUACUUCUUUUGCUCGUUAUGGAGCUACCCACUGGACCUGGACAUAGAUCCAGUCCCAUGAGACCUCAAUCUGAGGAUACUGUGUUUGAUUCACUCCAAUUUGGCGAAGAUAUCCAGCACUUAAUCUCCGUGCCGCCGGAAAAUGCCAGCUCCUUCACUGCCCUUCUCGAGUUGCCGCCUAAUCAGGCCGUGGAGCUUCUACACUCGCCUGAUUCAACUCUCAGAACCCGAACCGUUAUCGAGACCCACCAUCAAAAACCGUAUCUACAGCCCCAGUUCAAUGCUGCGAAUUUGGCGUUUCCUACUAACAGUGGUUUGAUAGAGCGAGCCGCAAGAUUGUCGGUGUUCGCUGGUGAGAAUUUGAACAAUAUUAGCAAUAAUUCGCCGGAGACGAGCUCAGGACCGUCGAAUUCCA